UACGUAGGGUGCAAGCGUUGUCCGGAAUUAUUGGGCGUAAAGGGCUCGUAGGCGGUCCAUCGCGUCGGGGAGUGAAAAGCUGGGGCUUAACCCCAGUCCUGCUUCCGAUACGGGUGGACUAGAGGUAGGUAGGGGAGAACGGAAUUCCUGGUGUAGCGGUGAAAUGCGUAGAGAUCAGGAGGAACACCGGUGGCGAAGGCGGUCUCUG
rnacentral:rRNA from 1 species